rnacentral:rRNA from 1 species
UACAGGGGGGGGCAAGCGUUGUUCGGAAUUACUGGGCGUAAAGGGGUAGUAGGCGGCCAACUAAGUCCGACGUGAAAUCCCAAGGCUUAACCUUGGAACUGCGUCGGAUACUGGAUGGCUUGAAUUCGGGAGAGGGAUGCAGAAUUCCAGGUGUAGCGGUGAAAUGCGUAGAUAUCUGGAGGAAUACCGGUGGCGAAGGCGGCAUCCUGGACCGACAUUGACGCUGAAUACCGGAAAGCUAAGGGGAGGCAAACGGGACGUUA